GAAGGUGGCGCCCCUCCUCGCCCGGGCGGUGCUCGGCGGUCGUUGUCGCCGGUCUACUAGCUGCCAUCGAUUUAUGUUUCACGUUCUGUUAGUUAGGCCUAGGUUAGUUGCGCACCUGUUUUGUGUUAGUGGUUAGUGGGGAAGGAUAUUUAGGCUAGCUAGUUAGGUUUGUUGUUUGUGCGGGAUUGUUCGUUUGUUCAGGGUGUGUUUUGUUACGAGGUUCUGUGGUUUGCCUUUUGGAGUUACGUUAUUCGUUUUAGGCUGCGUCCCUGGUUACGUUCUUUUAGGGUGGUGCGUUUCUUUCUGCACACCUUGCACUCCAUACCUUUUUGCAUAUUUUCCGUGUGGAUAUUUUAUUAAAUUCAUUCACGGAAUCAUUCUGUCUCCUGCGCCGUUGUGACAAGUAUGGAGAUUGUUGUGGUUUUGGCAGGCUUUCCCUCCUUCUCUGAGCACUUCCUUUAUUUUAAAUUUUAAAUGUUUGGUCAUUUUGCAGAAGCUCUUAUCCAGAACAACUUACAUGCAUUUUCUUACUGCAAAUCAAACCCAUAACCCUGGUGUUGCAAGUGCCAUGCUCUACCAACUGAACCAACCGUCCUGUCGGUCUGUAGAGAUAGACAUUUCAAAUAAAGACAGACAGGAACCUUGGGCAAUGUGUGCAAGACUUGUUGAAGGGACUAGAGAGAUUGAACAACCGUGAAAAGAACCAGACUCAUGAGGGGAUGCCCAUUCUAUGGCUGGCAUAUGGCAUGAUUGCAUCACAGUCUAUUUGGGUUGUUGGGAAUUUUUUUUAAGCAUAAAGCUCAGUUGCUCACAUCGGGUGGCGGGUAUAUUACUUUUCAUGUAAUAGUGCAAUGGAAAUCUACCUGAUUACUUUACGAAAGGACUCAGUCAUGCCAUGAGUUUUGUGCCAGUGACAAAUCUAGGGUAAAUGACUUCCUGGGUGGAUUCUAGUCAGCACAACGGAUAUUGGGGAAAUUAAAGUUUCAUUUAAUGACAACAUCUUAGUCCUAGAUACACAAACGAUUACAUUACCCAAAAGUCUUAGCUGGACCAAUGAACAACAUUGACAAAACGUUAGCCGCCACGUCCCCCAAGUCCUCUCUUUACUAUAACACAUCUAUACAGAUGUCAUCUCUUCCUCUGCUUAUGGAAGUCAUCACUGAAUGGUUUGUUCGACGGAUUAAUAGAUGAGGAACUAAGUCGGGCUUCAACCUACUCUUAAAUGUUGUAAUGGAAGAAUGCAAUUUUGUAAUUGGGUAGUGCAUCAUCAGUUCAUCUUGUCACUGCAGACCUCGAAUUGCAGGAAAUCAGCUUUAAACCUGCAAAAUGUUCUCUCCGCCAACAAGAGGGAUGUGAACAGUUUUUGUCAUCAACCAUAGAAAUAGACGUGGCACUCGGGCACCCCUUCCAUCCCCAAUGAAAAGGAAACCUCGUUCAACGAACAGCGGAGGGUUGCGGAAAAGUUGUACCGAGGACAGCUAAUGCCAAAGGUCUCCAGCUGGAGACACAUGUUCGUUCCCUGCCCACCACACUACCGGUCAGACUAUCCUCCAUGAGUUGCAUGUUCUUGGAGAUGAGAAUGGGAAACCCCAGUUUUAGAUAUGAGUUGAAGUCAGUCUAGUGAUGUGUAGCUAAUUGUCAUUGUUAGUGUUAUUAAUGCAUUAUAACAGCUUGACUAACACAAUGUGUUUUCAUUGAAAAGGAUUGUAAAUAAACUGUCUGUCAGUGUUUUGUUGAGAUUCAUUUUGGAUUACCUCUGCGCAGAAAGUAAGGCGGGGUUGCAAAGC
rnacentral:lncRNA from 1 species